rnacentral:rRNA from 1 species
UACGGGGGGGGGCAAGCGUUGUUCGGAAUUACUGGGCGUAAAGGGCGCGUAGGCGGCUCGCUAAGUCGGGUGUGAAAACUCUGGGCUCAACCCAGAGCCUGCAUUCGAAACUGACGGGCUAGAGUCCGGUAGGGGAGCGUGGAAUUCCUGGUGUAGCGGUGAAAUGCGCAGAUAUCAGGAGGAACACCAGCGGCGAAGGCGGCGCUCUGGGCCGGAACUGACGCUGAGGAGCGAAAGCGUGGGUAGCAAACAGG